AGCAGCCAUGGUAAUUUCAGCUCCAAUAGCGCAUAUUAAAGUUGUUGCAGUUAAAAAGCUCGUAGUUGAAUUUUGGGGUCAGUAGGUUGGUCAUGCCACUGGUAUGUACUGGUCUCACUGAUUCCUCCUUCCUGAUGAACUGUAAUGCCAUUAAUUUGGUGUUGCAGGGAAUCUGGACUGUUACUUUGAAAAAUUAGAGUGUUUAAAGCAGGCUAACGCCUGAAUACAUUAGCAUGGAAUAAUGAAAUAGGAUGUUCGAUCCUAUUUUGUUGGUUUCUAGGAUUGACGUAAUGAUUAAUAGGGAUAGUUGGGGGCAUUAGUAUUCAAUUGUCAGAGGUGAAAUUCCUGGAUUUUAUUGAAGACUAACUACUGCGAAAGCAUUUGCCAAGGAUGUUUUCAUUAAUCAAGAACAAAAGUUAGGGGAUCGAAGACGAUCAGAUACCGUCGUAGUCUUAACCAUAAACUAUGCCGACUAGGGAUCGGAUGAUGUUAAUUUUUAAUGUA
rnacentral:rRNA from 1 species